rnacentral:rRNA from 1 species
AUUGAACGCUGGCGGCAUGCCUUACACAUGCAAGUCGAACGGCAGCAUGGAGAGCUUGCUCUCUGAUGGCGAGUGGCGAACGGGUGAGUAAAGCAUCGGAACGUACCGUGUAGUGGGGGGUAACGUAGCGAAAGGUACGCUAAUACCGCAUACGCACUGAGGUGGAAAGCAGGGGAUCGCAAGACCUUGCGCUAUACGAGCGGCCGAUGUCAGAUUAGCUAGUUGGUAGGGUAAAGGCCUACCAAGGCGACGAUCUGUAGCGGGUCUGAGAGGAUGAUCCGCCACACUGGGACUGAGACACGGCCCAGACUCCUACGGGAGGCAGCAGUGGGGAAUUUUGGACAAUGGGGGCAACCCUGAUCCAGCCAUGCCGCGUGAGUGAAGAAGGCCUUCGGGUUGUAAAGCUCUUUCGGCCGGGAAGAAAUCGCACAGGCUAAUACUCUGUGUGGAUGACGGUACCGGCAUAAGAAGCACCGGCUAACUACGUGCCAGCCGCCGCCGUAA